rnacentral:rRNA from 1 species
UACGUAGGGUGCGAGCGUUGUCCGGAAUUAUUGGGCGUAAAGGGCUCGUAGGCGGUUUGUCGCGUCGGGAGUGAAAACACCGGGCUUAACUCGGUGCUUGCUUCCGAUACGGGCAGACUAGAGGCAUGCAGGGGAGAACGGAAUUCCUGGUGUAGCGGUGAAAUGCGCAGAUAUCAGGAGGAACACCGGUGGCGAAGGCGGUUCUCUGGGCAUGUCCUGACGCUGAGGAGCGAAAGUGUGGGGAGCAAACAGG